UACGUAGGGGGCGAGCGUUGUUCGGAAUUACUGGGCGUAAAGGGCGCGUAGGCGGCGAUCCUAGUCAGAUGUGAAAGUCCUGGGCUUAACCUGGGGACUGCAUUUGAUACUGGAUUGCUUGAAUUCGGGAGAGGAUAGCGGAAUUCCCAGUGUAGAGGUGAAAUUCGUAGAUAUUGGGAAGAACACCGGUGGCGAAGGCGGCUAUCUGGACCGACAUUGACGCUGAGGCGCGAAAGCGUGGGGAGCAAACAGG
rnacentral:rRNA from 1 species